GACGAACGCUGGCGGCGUGCCUAAUACAUGCAAGUCGAGCGAAGCGGCGGAUGGGUGAGUAAAGCGUGGGUAACCUGCCCUUAAGUCUGGGAUACCAGUUGGUAACAGAUGCUAAUAACGGAUACUCAAGUAUGACCCUGCGAUGCAUUAGCUAGUUGGUCAGGUAACGGCUUACCAAGGCGAUGAUGCAUAGGUGAGUUGUGAGAUUGGUCGGCCACAUUGGGACUGAGACAAGGCCCAAACUCCUACGGGAGGCAGCAGUAGUGAAUCUUCUACAGUGGACGAAAGUCUGAUGGGGCAACGCCGCGUGAGGGAAGAAGGUUUUCGGAUCGUAAAGCUAUGUUGUUGGUGAAGCGGUAAUCAACCAGAAAGUCACGGCUAACUACGUGCCAGCAGCCGCGGUAAUAC
rnacentral:rRNA from 1 species